UACGGAGGGUGCAAGAGAUGUUCGGAAUUACUGGGCGUAAAGGGCGUGUAGGUGGUUGACUAAGUCAGGUGUGAAAGCCCUCAGCUCAACUGAGGAAGCGCAUCUGAAACUGGUUAACUUGAGUACGGGAGAGGAGAGUGGAAUUCCUGGUGUAGAGGUGAAAUUCGUAGAUAUCAGGAGGAACAUCGGUGGCGAAGGCGACUCUCUGGACCGAUACUGACACUGAGACGGGAAAGCGUGGGGAGCAAACAGG
rnacentral:rRNA from 1 species